AUGACGAAAAAUUGUGAGCUCUAAAGCCGGUUUUCCACUUCGCCCGUACCGUACCGAAACGUACUGGUGAGCAUGCGCAGAUUGAAAAGAGGUUUAUUCGCGUAUCAAAAUGAAAAGUUCGUCACAAAUCAACUUUUUUGCGUACUACAGAAGUACUAACCAAUCAACAUUCACGAAAUUUUGAAAUUUAAAAACGUUUUUGAUAUGUUUCGGUACGGUACGGUACGGUACGGUACGGUUGUAGUGGAAAACCGGCUUAACUUUUCACUCGGUUUACUGAAAAUAACUGAAUUUAUCAAUGUAUAUCUUCAUUCUUUAAUUCAGAGAGAACGCCUUGUUGGACAGUUUGAAAUGAGACACCAUCAAAUGAUGAAGAUGAAUUCAGUGGCCGUCAUAAACGCGGUUUAAUUCGUCG